GACCCGCGGAGGCUGCGGUGGGACGGUAGCGACGACCGCAACAGCGCGAGCUUCAGUGGGUUUCUUCAAGAGCUUUCCGCCAUUGACCAGGCUUUGAAAGCGCUUUACGAACGCUUCCAGCCGGGAUCCAAUACAACUACCAGCACAAACAGAAAAACCAAGUGGAGCAAAAAGGAAACACAUAUUUUCGAUCUAUUUCUUGUCAGACCCGUGCCUCCUUCCCCGAGGGCCUGUCUUUCCAGAUGUGAAGCAAUUAAAGAGACAGAGCACAUCCCUGAGCACUGUCAAGGCUCCUCCCAGGAAUCACAUUCGGCAUCUCAACAGCAAGCUGCUGUAGCUUUGAACUGUGUCUUGCCAAAAUAAGUUAUUAUGCAAGGAAACAGGAAAUCUUGGUCAAAUUACCAGCCCAGGGUCCACAACAUAGAGAUUAGGAACAGAUUCAGCAAACGGAAACAAGGUAAGCAACAAAAAGUGAUCAUAUCCCAAUCAUCAAAGGUAGGACUCCAGAUCUGUUGAUCUGGAGUCAAGGAGAAAAGGGGAAACUAUUUAGGUUCAAGAAGUAGGGCUUGAAAGGGGACUUAUCAGUGGAGACUUCAAGAAUAUCUGGUAGUAUUUGUUCACCCUACCCUGGUUUGUAUGUGAGUAAUCCUUGCCCUGCCCAUUACCCAAAAGGAUUCUGAUCUGAAGACUAAUAACUAUAUUUUAGAACAAAAAUACCCUCAAUUUUAUGUUAAGCAUUCAUUAAAAUAAGUCACAUAAUAAAGUUGAUCUGUAUCAUGAGGGAGAUAUAUCAUAUGGUGGGGUCUGGCCCUUUAAAUGAGGUUAGAAAUGACUGAAGAGCUCUAUUAACCCUCUUAUUAGGACAGAAUGGAUUCCACGUAGUAUUCCCUAAAACAAAAUAAAACCAAAAAAUGACAAGCUUCUGUUAAAGGCUGUUCACCUUUGAUGAUAUCUCUUAAUUGUUUACUUUUUAACUAAGGGUUUUUAACUAGGGCUAUUAGAACUCUAGAGGGUGUUUAAUCUGUUGAUCUGUUUUCAAAAGUCUGACUCCUUUCAUUUGUGAUCCUAGGUAAGUAGUAGCUUGGAGGGUUUUACUUAUGCAAAAAGAUCAGUUCCCUAAUUUUCAAUUUCUUUAAGUGUAAAAUUCUAGUGUCAGACGCUAUCUUGAAAUGGGGGAAGGGAAGUUAUGAGAAUGUAUUGGGUAAGAUUCCCUGAUGUUUUCAUACCUCUCAAACCUAGACCUCUACACCAAGGCCCCUUCCCCACCUGUAUAGUAAGCAAAAAUACUUUUUCUUUUUCUUUCUUUCUUUUUUUUUUUUUUUUUUUUUUUGGCUUUUUAGGGCCGAACCUGCUGCAUAUGAAAGUUCCCAGGCUAUGGGCUGAACUGAAA
rnacentral:lncRNA from 1 species